CUGAGCCAUUGUGAGGUCUGAUUUUUUUUGAGGAGGCAUUUUUGUCAUGCAAAUGUCUUACUCUUUCGAAGGCAUAUUGGUUUGAGAAACCAAACUCUUAAGUAACCCCAAUAACUAACAAACUAGGUUUCUGACCAGAACUGGACUCACGGCUCACAGAACUGGGGGGUAUGUCACUGUUGAUGGACUACACCGCUGAUGGGGAUGUCAUACAACCUCAUGUAACUCGUCUUCUACUCAGGUGCAAGAGCAAGUCCGAGUCACUUCAGGUCAGGCCACCCUUAGCAGCAACAACUGCAAUCAAGUGUUUCUGAUAACUUGCAAUGAGUCUCUUACAGUGCUGUGGAGGAAUUUUGGCCCACUCAUCUUUGCAGAAUUGUUGUAAUUCAGCCACAUUGGAAGGUUUUCCAGCAUGAAGCACCUUUUAAACGUCAUGCCACAGCAUCUCAAUAGGAUUCAGGAAAAAAUGGAUUCUACAUUGUGGAGGUCAAACGGAAUCUCAGGAUGGAUUGUGUUCCACCACCUGUGAGGGAAAAGGGAGGUGUCUAUUUGAGCGGAGGAGGCUGAUUGGGUGCAAGGAGGAGGAGGCUGAUCCUAUCUUGUGAUCAGUGACCUCAAGAACAGCGAGGAGCGCGAGAUGGGGGGCUUUGGCGGGGGUGGGGAAAACGGGGC